UACAGAGGGUGCGAGCGUUGUCCGGAAUCACUGGGCGUAAAGGGCGCGUAGGUGGCGCUGCAAGUCGGUGGUGAAAGCUCGCCGCUUAACGGCGAGUCGGCCAUCGAAACUGCAGGGCUCGAGCACUGUAGGGGCUAAUGGAAUUCCGGGUGUAGCGGUGGAAUGCGUAGAGAUCCGGAGGAACACCAGCGGCGAAGGCGGCGUCCUGGACUGGUACUGACGCUCAGGAGCGAAAGCGUGGGGAGCGAUCCGG
rnacentral:rRNA from 1 species